GCCAGGCAUGGUGGCGUGCGCCUGUAAUCCCAGCUACUCAGGAGGCUGAGGCAGGAGAAUUGCUUGAACCCAGGAGGCAGAGGUUGCAGUGAGCCAAGAUUGUGCCACUGUACCACAGCCUGGGUGACAGAGCAGGACUCUGUCUCAA
rnacentral:SRP_RNA from 1 species